rnacentral:rRNA from 1 species
CAGUCGCCGCGGUAAUACGAGGGGUGCAAGCGUUAUUCGGAUUGAUUGGGUGUAAAGGGUGUGCAGACGGCUUAUUAAGUCACUUGUUAAAUUCUUCGGCCUAACUGAAGGUCUGCAAGUGAUACUGAUGAGCUAGAGGGUGGAAGAGAGAAGUGGAAUUCUCGGAGUAGCGGUAAAAUGCGUAGAUCUCGAGAGGAACACCAAUGGCGAAGGCAGCUUCUUGGUCCAUUCCUGACGUUCAUACACGAAAGCGUGGGGAGCAAACAGGACUAGAUACCCCCGUAGUCCCUGUCUCUUAUAC